rnacentral:lncRNA from 1 species
GAUUCUAUGGACCAGCCUAUUAGAGGGGCACAGAAUCCGGAUAUAUAUAUGUACCUCGGUUGGAGAGGCGCGUAGGGUAUCUCCUGAGGUAUGGUUAGAGUUCACGUCACGUCGAACCACCUCGUGAUGAUGAACUCCGCUAACGCCAAGGAACGGCUGUGUUUUUCUCAAACUAAAAAUAUGUUUUACGUGUAUAUGAAAUUUUAACAGCCUUGGCG